GUGUCAGCAGCCGCGGUAAUACGUAGGGGUCGAGCGUUGUCCGGACUUACUGGGCGUAAAGCGUGGGUAGGUGGUCGGUGAUGUGCCGUGUGAAAGCCCCGCGUUCAUCGGGGGGAGGUCGCGGUAGACACAUUGACUUGAGGCAUACAGAGGGCCGUGGAAUUCCCGGUGUAGUGGUGAAAUGCGUAGAUAUCGGGAGGAACACCAGUGGCGCAAGCGGCGGCCUGGGUAUGACCUGACACUGAGCCACGACGGCGUGGGGAGCAAACGGGAUUAGAUACCCCAGUAGUCC
rnacentral:rRNA from 1 species